rnacentral:sRNA from 1 species
UUGCGCCGGGAUCGCCUCCCGCCAGCGCGUUGCGCCCGCGGGAGCGAUCGUC